UACGAAGGGGGCGAGCGUUGUUCGGAAUUAUUGGGCGUAAAGGGAGCGUAGGCGGUUCGAUAAGUCACUUGUGAAAUCUCUGGGCUCAACUCAGAGUCUGCAAGCGAAACUGUCGGGCUUGAGUAUGGGAGAGGUGAGUGGAAUUCCUGGUGUAGCGGUGAAAUGCGUAGAUAUCUGGAGGAAUACCGGUGGCGAAGGCGGCAUCCUGGACCAUUACUGACGCUGAGGCGCGAAAGCUAGGGGAGCAAACGGG
rnacentral:rRNA from 1 species